AAGGGAAGUCCAGAGCUGAGAUUCUAGUCUAGGCUGUCUCUUCCCUCCCACUUUGCAGGUACCCAUUCCAGACUGAGGAGCAGGUAAGUCUCCUGGCUUUAUGCAGAAACACAAAUAUUGAUUUACCAACAAGUCAAAUAUUUUCCCCUCCUUGGAAUGCUCCUAAGCUGGAGGCACUUGGACAUCUUGGGCCUCUGCUACUUCAUUUACACUGGUUUUCCAUUGACCUGAAUGGGUGGGCCAGUGACUAUUUGCAAGGUUGGUUGGGAAGGGUUGGCUCUCAGCUUGGGAUUCCUAGAACAGGUGCACUUGGGGGCCUCCUCUUGGCCUCCACCUCUGCGGAUCCCAGGGCCAAUCUUUUGUCUCAACCCAUUUUCUCAGGAACUCAUCUAAGAGAGCUACCCCCUGGCGGGAGUAAGCUACCAUCUCCAAGGGCCAGCACAGAACUUUGGGAGUGCCAAUUGUGGAGAGAAGGGGGUGUUAGGAGAGAUCGUCCCAGAGGAUUACAGUGACAGGACACUUAGCCCUCCUCACAGGCACGAGUUUGGAAUAAUUACCCAGGGCAGACUCUCUGAAAGAGGAGGUAAGCUGGCUAAGGCUCUUAGAAGGCAGGCCUGAUGACAUUGUUAUGUAUCAGUCCAAGGCUCAGGACGCGGCGGGGUCAGGUAUUAGCUGAUUAUCUGAUUCUGUCAGCAGAGAGCUUUCAGUGAGUCCACAGAGCCAGCCCCCAGAUUUCCGCACAGAAACGCUAAGCUUAGACACCUGCAAAGGAGUCCUCGUGUGAAGUUCUGCCCCUGGAAGGUGUCCUGGGUACUUACAGUAUCAGCACUGGAGGCAGAUCCUGCAGCUCCGAAACACCCUCCAAGCUUCACGUUGCCACACGGUUCUGGGAGAUGAGGCCAUGGCAAUCUGUGGCUUCCCUUGCUCCUGAACUUGAGCCUCUGAUUCCCUCUCCUGUUGGAGGCUUUAACACGGUCAGUCUACAGACACCAGUUUUGGCUGUUGAAAAGCUUUCCACCUCCAACCCUGCUGGGGGUGGAAGAGAAGGACAGAAGGGGAGUGAGGAAGAGCCACUUCUGUGACAGAAAUCAAAGCCAAGGCAGGCAGACAUGUAGGUGGACUUGAGCGGCAAUUAAUUCUUUUCAAUCAGGAGAGAGGCCCAAAUGACAAGAGGAGGCACUAAAUUUAGACAUAAAGAAGAACUUACUUGGUUUUGAAGGUUAGCCAGGAUACCUCUAAUAAUUGUGUUAUAAUAAAUAUAAUUUUAUUAUUUACUAUAUUUACUGUUCUAUCAACUUUUCUUUUUCUCUUCUUUUCUUUUUUCUUUUUGAGACAGAGUCUGACUGUGUCACCCAGGCUGGAGUGCAGUGGCGUGAUCUCGGCUUACUACAACCUCUGCCUCCUGGGUUCAAGCAAUUCUCCUGCCUCAGCCUCCAGAGUAGCUGGGAUUACAGCACCCCUCCCACAAGCUAGCAGGAGGGUGGAAGUGAGGAUGAAGGAUCCUUGUGGAAGCUGAGUCCAGCCCAGGAUGCCUCUGCCCACUUCUGCUCUGCUCUUAGCACAGGUGCCUGGCUCCCACCUGUUGAGUUACAGGCCACUGACUUCCAAGUCAGGCCAGGAGGUCAGUCAUCUUUUCCACCGAUCCUCUGCCCUGAGCUGAGUUAUCUCGCACAAGUGGUACCCACUGGACCCCGUAGCUCUGGCCCUGCUGGAACUCCCUCGCAGCUUAGCAGGGGUUUUAAAUCUGGCCCAUGAGGCCUUGUCAGUUUCAAGAGCCCCCCCUGACCUUUUAAUAAACAUUUCCUUUGUUAUCAGAAUUAUUUCCUAAUUCAUUCCCUUCUGUCCCUGAAAAUCUAAAUCCUAUUUAAGUUAAUGCCCUUCAUUUUCAUUUAUAAAGACAGAUACAAAAUAAUUAUUUCCUAUCUCCGUGGUUUCCUUAUCUCCCGUCCUAAUAAUGCCUUCAGCAGAUGAACAUUCCCUGUCAGUUGAAACAGUUGGAGUGUUUGUUUUUUUCACUCUUUAAAGAAGAAAAAUAAAAUGCUUUCUCAGGCUUUGUCUCUUCUCUUCUCCUCUCUCCUCUUUUCUCUUUCUGCCUUUCUCGGCUCUUUUCUUCUCACUAUCUGCUUUUCUCCCGGGCGCCCCCUCUCCCUCUUCUGACCCCCACAGUGACCCUUUCUCUCCCUCUCCUGCACCCUCUCCUGCUGUCCUGGCCCUUGCCCAGCCCAGUGUUGCUGGGCGCCUCUCAUUUUCCUGUCCGUAGUGCAAUUUCUCUGCGGCCUCACAUCUGAAUUUCAUCAGCCCAUGAGCCUGCCUUUGAGCUCAGGUCCCCCCAGCUAGUAAAACUGGUUUGGAUGAGCAGACGCAGUCUCGAAAAGAAACAUUCUUUGGUUUCCUCUCAUGACAACUAGUGAGCAGAGAAUUCACAGUUCCCUUCUCCGGGCGCCUCUUUGAAGUGUUUGAUUGAAAGGAGAGGGGAUGGAAAGGAAUGGGGUGAUGGGGGUUGGUAGUGGCGGGAACAAGGAUUCCAGCUUUAACUAGCAACUCUGAAACCAGCGACCCAGACUUCCGGCGACCCUCUCUGUUCCUUGCCCAUCUGGGUAGGGGAGAUGCUGACUGAUUUUUGGCUAUCUGCACCAGAUCCAGUCUUCCACCCUCCUCUCUUUUGUUUUCCAGUAAAACUCAACACACAAUUUAAAUCCAGGGUUUGGGAGAAAGUCAUUAAUAGAGUAGCUGAUUUUAAGGGAACUGGUUCUGUUCUCAGAAAGCAGUUGUUCAAAUCCUAACCAUUAGCACAUGCUGAAUGCCUUCUAUAUGCCAGCUAUGUAAAUGAUUUCAUUUACUUCUCAUGAGGACCCUGUGACCUAGCAGCUACUGUUUCCCCAUUGUAUGGAUGAGGAAACUGAGGCUCAGAAAGACUGGGAAACUUGCUCACAGCCCUCGACCAGCAGAGGUACAACCAGGCCUCGAAUCCAGGUUUUGCUUCAUAUCCCUCACUCUCUGACAUACAGGCCUUCAAGAGAAAGGAUUUCUGUCACUCCUCUGGCUUUAAAGUCUUUGUCAAGGCCAAGAAGGAACUAUGAAGAACUCUUCUGUGACGGUAUCUAACAGGUGGUCUCUGAGCUCUUUUAUCUUUGGUAGAGAAUGCAGAUUACUAGGCACAAAGAUUUAAAAAAACCCACGAGAGAAAAAUGUUUGAAAGCAUGGUGCUACAGAGAGGUCAAGGACUAAUGGAUGGGGAACGGAAUGUACCUACAUCAAGUCCCUUCAUUUUAUAGUCAGGGAAACUGAGGCCUAGCAAGAGCUGGGUCUCACUCCUGCCUUCACUUAGCUCAGCAGCUAAGACUUGCUGAACCCACAAAGAGCUUUCCUUCAUCAUCUGGAGGGAGAUACGGAAGCCACCUAGGGGUUACCCCAGAGAGGCCAGGAGACUUA
rnacentral:lncRNA from 1 species